GCUGUGAUAGCCGAGUGGUUAAGACAUUGGAGUUGAAAUCCAACGGGGUUCCCCUGCGCAGGUUCGAAUCCUGCUUGCAGCG